AGAGUUUGAUCCUGGCUCAGGAUGAACGCUGGCGGCGUGCCUAACACAUGCAAGUCGAACGGAGUUAUUUUGGAAAUCUCUUCGGAGAUGGAAUCUUUAACUUAGUGGCGGACGGGUGAGUAACGCGUGAGCAAUCUGCCUUUAAGAGGGGGAUAACAGUUGGAAACGGCUGCUAAUACCGCAUAAGCGCACGGCAUCGCAUGAUGCAGUGUGAAAAACUCCGGUGGUAUAAGAUGGACCCGCGUUGGAUUAGCUAGUUGGUGAGGUAACGGCUCACCAAGGCGACGAUCCAUAGCCGACCUGAGAGGGUGACCGGCCACAUUGGGACUGAGACACGGCCCAAACUCCUACGGGAGGCAGCAGUGGGGAAUAUUGCACAAUGGGCGAAAGCCUGAUGCAGCGACGCCGCGUGAGCGAAGAAGUAUUUCGGUAUGUAAAGCUCUAUCAGCAGGGAAGAUAAUGACGGUACCUGACUAAGAAGCACCGGCUAAAUACGUGCCAGCAGCCGCGGUAAUACGUAUGGUGCAAGCGUUAUCCGGAUUUACUGGGUGUAAAGGGAGCGCAGGCGGUGCGGCAAGUCUGAUGUGAAAGCCCGGGGCUCAACCCCGUGACUGCAUUGGAAACUGUUUUGCUUGAGUGCCGGAGAGGUAAGCGGAAUUCCUAGUGUAGCGGUGAAAUGCGUAGAUAUUAGGAGGAACACCAGUGGCGAAGGCGGCUUACUGGACGGCAACUGACGUUGAGGCUCGAAAGCGUGGGGAGCAAACAGGAUUAGAUACUCUGGUAGUCCACGCCGUAAACG
rnacentral:rRNA from 1 species